rnacentral:rRNA from 1 species
GCUAUAGUUCUAUAACAAAACAAUUCGCCAGAGAACUACUAGCAACAGCUUAAAACUCAAAGGACUUGGCGGUGCUUUAUAUCCCUCUAGAGGAGCCUGUUCUAUAAUCGAUAAACCCCGAUAAACCUCACCAUCCCUUGCUAAUACAGUCUAUAUACCGCCAUCUUCAGCAAACAAGCUU